UUUCCAGACUCCUACGGGAGGCAGCAGUGGGGAAUAUUGCACAAUGGGGGGAACCUUGAUGCAGCAACGCCGCGUGGGUGAAGAAGUACUCCGGUAUGUAAAGCCCUGUCAGCAGGGAAGAAAAUGACGGUACCUGACCAAGAAGCCCCGGCUAACUACGUGCCAGCAGCCGCGGUAAUACGUAGGGGGCAAGCGUUAUCCGGAUUUACUGGGUGUAAAGGGAGCGUAGACGGCAGUGCAAGUCCGGAGUGAAAGCCCGGGGCUCAACCCUGGGACUGCUCUGGAAACUGUAAAGCUGGAGUGCGGGAGGGGCAGGCGGAAUUCCUGGUGUAGCGGUGAAAUGCGUAGAUAUCAGGAGGAACACCGGCGGCGAAGGCGGCCUGCUGGACCGUAACUGACGUUGAGGCUCGAAAGCGUGGGGAGCAAACAGGAUUAGAUACCCGUGUA
rnacentral:rRNA from 1 species